CGGGAAACCGGAGCUAAUACCGGAUAAUAUUUCGAACCGCAUGGUUCGAUAGUGAAAGAUGGUUUUGCUAUCACUUAUAGAUGGACCCGCGCCGUAUUAGCUAGUUGGUAAGGUAACGGCUUACCAAGGCGACGAUACGUAGCCGACCUGAGAGGGUGAUCGGCCACACUGGAACUGAGACACGGUCCAGACUCCUACGGGAGGCAGCAGCU
rnacentral:rRNA from 1 species